AAAACGUAUGAUCUAACACCUUGUAAGCAAACGUUGGAGUGUUUUUGCUAAUUCAAUUAAUCACCCCAACAAUUAUAGUAUGUGAUCUAUGGUGUCUUCUUUACAGUGGUUAUGACUGCUAAUACAAUCGGCCCUUAGUUCGCACUGUGUUUGUUUUUACCACCAGGUACUUAUUAAAAACUCUCUACUUGCCUGCUGGCGGCUUCUCAUGCCCUCACAUUGGCGAUUUAGGAGUUGUGAUUAUUCAAUGAAAGCAAAGUGUCUUGUGUUCCUGCUGGACUUGGACCGCUAUCGUUCGCCAAUUAUUGUAGAAUUCAUUAAAACAGGCAUUAAUUUUGAAUGAGAACGUAGCUGGGGACUUAAAACACGAUACCCAAGCCAUACAAUAUACGGCGAAGACAUUGACUAUAUCAAGUAGAAACCCAUUUGCUCCUCUAUUCCCCUUGCAGUAUUGUCUCGCCAAUCGAGAACAGAAAGUCGGCAAAAAACAAGAGGCGCUUCUGUGACGUACUUGUCGAUAUCGGAGUGCCAUCACAAGCGGGGAGAGCGAGCCAAACAUGGCGGACGAAAUGCAUGUCCCGAUGAUCAUCGCCAUCAUCCUGUUGAUUGUCAUCUUGAUCUUGAUCGUCAUCGCUUGCGCUUAUUGCUGUAAAGCGGGCAAAAAGCACUUGGAGGGGCAAGACUUAACUUCGUGGCGACAGGCGCAACCCGAACCGAGCCAAAAGAAAAGUACGACAUCUACGACUGCCCUAGCGGAAGGACCACAGAGGGUUUGACCUUAGGGAUAUUUCCAUUUAAACAUGCGAAGCUAGAAGGAACCGCUGCCAUGAAUAACAGAACGAGCUGCGUGGGUAUUCGCCCUGUAACCGUCCUUUGCUAUCACUAGCUAUCUCUCGCUAUCACUAGCUAUCUCUUUGUUUGACUGGCGCUGUACGAAAUUGAAUUCUUUCCGGGUUUUUUUGUUGUUGUUGUUGUUGUUCCCAAUAAAUCUAUAUGAGUUUUCCCUUUUUUAUGUAUUUCUUGGACGAGUAUUAUUUAUAGCUAAAGGUGACUACCGGUUUACGCAUUGCUGAAAAAGCAAUUACUAGAGACAAUUGUUUUGAUAAACAAUGAUUAAUGAAAAUCUCUCACCGUUUUAUUUCUGUUUAUUUACUUGACAAUUCCUUUGUGAUUCAUUUAAACUUACAUAACAAAUUCAGAUUGGAGUAUACAGCAUAAAAGACCCAUUAUUUUUUUCCUAAGCAAUACAACAAAAAUUAGCUAUUUCUGUUUGCUAUGAAUAACAGUUUAUGUUUAUAAUUUGGUGAGGGUUUUUUUGCUUUGAAAUAGUCAAUUGUGCGUGCAAAACAGGAUAAUGUGCUCCUUUUCUUACUUUUAUUGGUGCGUGGCAUUUUAUGUAUCACACGCUGUUACCUUGAAAAAAAUAAAUGGGGAUUUUUACCCUCAUUUCAGAUUAGUUGAGGAAUAAAAAUAAGAAAACAAUAAAAAAA